GGAAAUUGCAACAACAAAAUCCUAACUCUAAUAGAAUACUAACUGAACUCUAAUUAGAUCAUAACAAUGUUAAGCAAGCUUUAAUCAAAUUCAAAGAAACUUCAAAGAAAUUACAAAGAAACAAUAAGAAAUCUUAAAGAAAUAUUAGAAUGAGUACAAAUAUAUCUCAAAUACAUCUCAAUUCAAUCUUAAUUUAAUCCUAGUUAAAAUCCUAUUGGACUUCAUUCAAACUUUAGGCCAAAAACUAAUUAAAUCUUAAAUCCUAAAUAAAUCCUAAUAAAAUCCUACAUCCUAAAUUAAACCCUAAUCAAAUCCUAAACUCUAAAUCAAACCCUAAUCAAAUCCUAAACCAAAUCCUAAAACCUAAAUCAAACCCUAGUAAUUCCUACAACAAAUUUAAACCUCAAUUACUAAUGAAU
rnacentral:lncRNA from 1 species